ACGCAAGAGUAGGGGUUUCUUUCGGCCUCCAGCGGAUAAUAAAGAGUUGUAGGCCGGCGGAAACUACUUGCUUUUACGU
rfam:Tribolium castaneum strain Georgia GA2 linkage group LG2, whole genome shotgun sequence.